UACGAAGGGUGCAAGCGUUAUUCGGAAUCAUUGGGCGUAAAGGGUGUGUAGACGGCGUGCUAAGUCUGUUGUUAAAUUCCCCAGCCUAACUGGGGGCUUGCGGUGGAUACUGGCAUGCUAGAGGGUGGAAGAGAGAAGUGGAAUUCUCGGAGUAGCGGUAAAAUGCGUAGAUCUCGAGAGGAACACCAAUGGCGAAGGCAGCUUCUUGGUCCAUUCCUGACGUUGAAACACGAAAGCGUGGGGAGCAAACAGG
rnacentral:rRNA from 1 species